CUUAAUCCUUUAGCUCGACACUGUCCAAAAUAACUUUCUGAGAUGAUAGCAAUAUUCUAAUAUAUACUUUCCUUAAAAAAAAAAAAAACAGCUUUAUUGAGGUAAAGUUUAUAUACCAAAAAAUGCACGUUUAAUGUAUAUAAUUUGAUGAGUUUGGACAUAUGCACACACUAGUGAUGCAAUCACCACAGUCAAGGUAUCAAACAUAUCCCUCACCUCCAAAAGUUUCCUGUGUCUGUUUUUUCUUUUCUUUUCUUUUCUUUUUUUUGUGUGUAUGGUAAAAACACUUAAUACUUAACAUGAGAUCUACCUUCUUAAAUGCUUAAGUGCACAAUAUCGUGCUGUUAACUAUAGGCACUAUGUCGUACAGCAGGUCUCUAGAACUUCUUCAUCUUGCAUGACUGAAACUUUAUACCCAUUGAACAGUAACUCCCUACUUCCCUCUGCCCCUAGCCCCUGGCAACUACCGUUCUAUUCUCUGCUUCUAUGAGUUUUGCUAUUUCAGAUGCCUCACACAGGUGGAAUCAUACAGAAUUUGUUAUUCUGUGACUGGCUUAUUUCACUUAGCAUAACGUCCUCCAGGUUUAUCCAUAUAUAUAUAGUUGUGCCCUCUGUCAGGCUGCUCUUCUGCCACUUUACCUUCUAUUAAAUCAAUGCUUUUACCUUAUUAUCAUGAAUAUAAUCAUUGAGUUAUGUGCCUAUCAUUUGCAAGGCACAGCACUAUGCUACAUGUUACAGUUAUGGAAGAUUCACACAUCAUGGAGAAGGACACAUAUACGCUUAUCUGGUCUAUAAUUUGAUGAGUGUCAUGUUAGCAGCAUAAAGAGCUGGCUCGGGAUUACAAAAGCAAAAGCUAUCAAUUUUGUCUGUAAGGAUUCAUGGCACAGUUUUCAUAGUGGGUGCUAUUUGAGCUGGGUCACAAAACAACCCAUUUUUGAGAAAGGUAGGAUAAGGCAGUCUGGGUAGGAGGUAUAGGAGUUCUGGGGUGCCUGAUGAAGAAGCUAUGUGGGUGGAGUGGUGGCAAGCACAUCUGGAAAUACAGACCAGGAUCAGAGGACAGAAAGGCUUGUAGUCAGACUGAGAAGUUAGCAGUUUCUCCUGUGAGCACCAAAGGUCAGCCAAGGGAAGAACAUGACUGCCAGGCACCAGAUCUGUCUUUUCCCUAUCGUAAAUGCCUUUUCCAUAAUAUGCAGUCUGUUAAUAUUUGUCCUUCUAACAGGUACUUUCUGGAUCCAAAGUAAGAAAUCCUUAUUGAAAUGUUUUUUAUUUAAUUUAAACUCUGAACAAACCCAAAAGAAGACAUAUGUCCCUUGAAGUUUAAGUGAAGGAGAAAUCACAAGGGUUAAGGCUGGAUUCGAAGCCCUUAGUGUCCAGGCAGGAGACCAUGGUCGUACUUUUGAAACUCCUCUAGGAGCUACUGAGUGAUAUAAUACACCUCCCCCUACAGAAAGUCACACUGAAUUGUUAUUCUAGGUAUUUCCUCUCCCGCUUGGCUAUGAGUCCUGUGAAACUAGGCAGGGACUAUUGUUUUGUUCACUGAGGGCUCUCAGCCUGGUGCUUGGCCCACAGUGGAUGCUGAAGGAAAGUUAAUUAGCACAUGCUAUGGGGAAGUAGGCCAGGAGGAGAAUCCCCGAUGGACUAAUCCACAGGAGGUGAUACAGCUCACCCCGGGUCCUGACACCAGCCUCUCCUUCCCUUUGGGACCCAUGGGUAUCUCUGGCAUGGGGGAUGCUAGAAACUGGGUGACAGAGCUGCAAACUGUGAGAACUCAUUUAACAUUUAGUUGGAGAAGCCAAACUCAUCAAGUUCUUACUUUCCUCCGUUCACCGGAAGCUAAUUUUCUCUGGCAGCCAGUGGGGAGGGAGAGGAGGCUUGUGCAGGGGCAGGAGUCCCAGCCAGCCUGGGACCAUCAGGGAAGGUUGGACUCUGUACGUUUAAUUUCUGUCUUUUAGGACCCAGUGGGGAGAGAGGGAAGGUGGAAACUGGUCGAGUUUCUCACAUUUAAGGGCCCCCCUCUUGGAUUGCACAGGUUCAUCCAAUGCCUUGCCAGCAAGUUGCUACUCAAACAAGAAGCCUCCCUUAAUUCUUCAACUGGGCCUGCACCUCAUUUUUUCUGGAUUGGCAAAGCACUUUGUGUUUAAAGAUCUUCGAGAAUGAGAUGAGAAUGCAGUACCUUCUUAGGUAAUUAAUGAUUCAACAUGGUGCCUUUGCAAAAUGAAAUUGAAGCGGCUGGAAGCCUCAUUUGCAGCCAUAAGAAUUCAAAGGACAGAAGAAGGCUGAUUUGUGAUUGUUGCUUUUCCUCAAUAAAAAUUAAACUGAUUACAAAGAGCUGACAAUGAGAAAAUGUCUUGCG
ensembl:lncRNA